AGCGAACGCUGGCGGCAGGCCUAACACAUGCAAGUCGAACGAAGUCUUCGGACUUAGUGGCGGACGGGUGAGUAACACGUGGGAACGUACCUUUUGGUUCGGAACAACUCAGGGAAACUUGAGCUAAUACCGGAUGAGCCCUUAGGGGGAAAGAUUUAUCGCCGAAAGAGCGGCCCGCGUUAGAUUAGCUAGUUGGUGAGGUAAAGGCUCACCAAGGCUACGAUCUAUAGCUGGUCUGAGAGGAUGAUCGGCCACACUGGGACUGAGACACGGCCCAGACUCCUACGGGAGGCAGCAGUGGGGAAUCUUGCGCAAUAGGCGAAAGCCUGACGCAGCCAUGCCGCGUGAAUGAUGAAGGUCUUAGGAUUGUAAAAUUCUUUUACCAGGGACGAUAAUGACGGUACCUGGAGAAAAAGCCCCGGCUAACUUCGUGCCAGCCGCCGCGGUAAGAC
rnacentral:rRNA from 1 species